UUGCAAAUAUUCUCACUGUUCUGAAUUUGUAAUAAUCUGGACAGGCUAACAUUUGCUAUAUUAAGACCAUGCAUGUGUCCCCAGAUGUAAGUAUUUUCUUUUCUUAGGUCUGGUUUUAUAAAUGCUGGUGAUAAAC
ensembl:snoRNA SNORA72 Small nucleolar RNA SNORA72